UAGGUCGCCAGUUCACGAUCAUUCGCUGAAACAACAUGAAGAUUUUUGGAGUUAUCAUCGCUGUUAUGGGCAUCGCCCUCGCUGCUGUUAGCGGUAUGACUGCCGUACCAAAGGCAGCAGGUUGCAAUGGACAGGGACCUCCACCUGGACCCCCACCAAGCAACGCUACCAGCUAGACGACAACCCGGCAACCCUCAGGACAUCUACUUCGGCUCACAUAAUGCACUGAAUAAACUCUCACACUUAUUA